UACGUAGGGGGCUAGCGUUGUCCGGAAUUAUUGGGCGUAAAGCGCGCGUAGGCGGUCCGGUAAGUCCGCUGUGAAAGUCGAGGGCUCAACCCUCGAAUGCCGGUGGAUACUGUCGGGCUUGAGUACGGGAGAGGCGAGUGGAAUUCCUGGUGUAGCGGUGAAAUGCGCAGAUAUCAGGAGGAACACCGGUGGCGAAGGCGGGUCUCUGGGCCGAUACUGACGCUGAGGAGCGAAAGCGUGGGGAGCGAACAGG
rnacentral:rRNA from 1 species